AUUGAACGCUGGCGGAAUGCUUUACACAUGCAAGUCGAGCGGCAGCACGGGGGCAACCCUGGUGGCGAGCGGCGAACGGGUGAGUAACACAUCGGAACGUACCCUGUCGUGGGGGAUAACUAGCCGAAAGGUUAGCUAAUACCGCAUACGACUCCUGGUCUGCGGAUCGGGAGGGAAAGCGAUACCGUGGGUAUCGCGCUCUUGGAUGGGCUCAUGUCCUAUCAGCUUGUUGGUGAGGUAAUGGCUCACCAAGGCUUCGACGGGUAGCUGGUCUGAGAGGACGAUCAGCCACACUGGCACUGCGACACGGGCCAGACUCCUACGGGAGGCAGCAGCAAGGAAUUUUCGGCAAUGGGCGCAAGCCUGACCGAGCAACGCCGCGUGGAGGAUGACGGCC
rnacentral:rRNA from 1 species